rnacentral:rRNA from 1 species
GCCUACGGGGGGCAGCAGUGAGGAAUAUUGGUCAAUGGGCGGGAGCCUGAACCAGCCAAGUCGCGUGAGGGACGACGGUCCUAUGGAUUGUAAACCUCUUUUGUCGGGGAACAAAGGCGCCCACGGGUGGGCGGAUGAGUGUACCCGAAGAAAAAGCAUCGGCUAACUCCGUGCCAGCAGCCGCGGUAAUACGGAGGAUGCGAGCGUUAUCCGGAUUUAUUGGGUUUAAAGGGUGCGCAGGCGGACCAUCAAGUCAGCGGUAAAAUCGUGGGGCCCAACCCCAUCCCGCCGUUGAAACUGGCGGU